rnacentral:rRNA from 1 species
GACGAACGCUGGCGGCGUGCCUAAUUUACAUGCAAGUCGAGCGAGCUUGCCUAGAUGAUUUUAGUGCUUGCACUAAAUGAAACUAGAUACAAGCGAGCGGCGGACGGGUGAGUAACACGUGGGUAACCUGCCCAAGAGACUGGGAUAACACCUGGAAACAGAUGCUAAUACCGGAUAACAACACUAGACGCAUGUCUAGAGUUUGAAAGAUGGUUCUGCUAUCACUCUUGGAUGGACCUGCGGUGCAUUAGCUAGUUGGUGAGGUAAGGGCUCACCAAGGCGACGAUCCGUAGCUGGUUUGAGAGGACGACCAGCCACACUGGGACUGAGACACGGCCCAG